GACGAACGCUGGCGGCGUGCUUAACACAUGCAAGUCGAACGGAAAGGCCCUGCUUUUGUGGGGUGCUCGAGUGGCGAACGGGUGAGUAACACGUGAGUAACCUGCCCUUGACUUUGGGAUAACUUCAGGAAACUGGGGCUAAUACCGGAUAGGAGCUCCUGCUGCAUGGUGGGGGUUGGAAAGUUUCGGCGGUUGGGGAUGGACUCGCGGCUUAUCAGCUUGUUGGUGGGGUAGUGGCUUACCAAGGCUUUGACGGGUAGCCGGCCUGAGAGGGUGGCCGGCGACAUUGGGACUGAGGGACGGCCCAGAAGGCAACGGGAGGCAGCAGGCGGGAGUAUGGCAGAAUGGGCGGAAGCCAGAUGCAGCAACGCCGGGAGCGGGAUGACGGGCUUCGGGUGGUAAACAGCUGUCGACGGUGACGAAGCGUGAGUGACGGUAAUGGGUAAGGAAGCACCGGCUAACUACGUG
rnacentral:rRNA from 1 species